rnacentral:lncRNA from 1 species
AAUUCUAGGAUUCUACCUACAGGCGUGCCUAUUCCUCCGUCAGGACCUAGUAGAAGUACAUCAGAUCCACCUCCUCCAUCGUCAAUAUUGACAUCUUCAUCACUUUUGAAAAGUUCAAAUUUCAAGAUUCUACCUAUAGGUGUUCCUAUCCCUCCGUCGGGACCUAGUGGAAGUACAUCAGAUCCGCCACCUCCAUCGUCAAUAUCGAAAUUUUCAUCACUUUUGAAGAGUUCAAAUUUCAAGAUUCUACCUACAGGUGUGCAUAUUCCUCCGUCAGGACCUAAUGAAAGUACAUCAGAUCUGCCACCUCCAUCGUCAAUAACGACAUCUUCAUCACUUGUGAAGAGUUUAAAUUUCAAGAUUCUACCUACAGGUGUGGCUAUUCCUCUGUCGAGACCUAGUGGAAGUACAUCAGAUCCGCCACCUCCACCGUCAAUAGCGACAUCUUCAUCACUUUUGAAGAGUUCAAAUUUUAGGAUUAUACCUACAGGUGUGCCUAUUCCUCCGUCGGGACCUAGUGGAAGUACAUCAGAUCCACCUCCUCCACCGUCAGUAUCGACAUCUUCAUCACUUUUGAAGAGUUCAAAUUUCAGGAUUCUACCUACAGGUGUGCCUAUUCCUCCGCCGGGACCUAGUGGAAGUACAUUAGAUCCACCUCCUCCACCGUCAGUAUCGACAUCUUCAUCACUUUUGAAGAGUUCAAAUUUUAGGAUUCUACCUACAGGUGUGCCUAUUCCUCCGUCAGGACCUAGUGGAAGUACAUCAGAUCCACCUCCUCCACCGUUAAUAUUGACAUCACUUUUAAAGAGUUCAAAUUUCAAGAUUCUACCUACUGGUGUGCCUAUUCCUCCGUCAAGACCUAGUGAAAGUACAUCAUAUCCACCUCCUCCAUUGUUAAUAUCAACAUCUUUACCAAUUUCAAAAAGUUUGAACUUCGGGAUGCUGCCUAAAAGUCCUCCGUCAGGACCUAGUGGAC